CAUUAUUGUCUCCCGACGGAAAACUUUGCACCACACCAGAAUGCAGCCAUGUCUCCUGAAACUACCUCUCUUAAAACAGAAAGAAAAGAGACUCAAGAAGGGAGUUUCUUUGCAGUCGAUAUCUGGGCUUCUAGCAUGAGGAUCAUGGACUGGCUUGUAGAAGAGGACCCAUCCUCUCCUUACUCGCACCUCUAACGCACACCAGAGUCUAACCUGCUCUCUCAGGACAUCACAGCUUGGGCAGCAGAUCUGCUGGUGCAGAUGUGCCAUUUGGCCACUAGACACUCUUGUUUUCCUACUGAAACCACUGGAAUAAAGAGCUAACUGCUAUUUAGGACACUUCUAUGAAGAACAGCAAGAUUACUCAAGCAUGUGAGAGCAGCUUUCUUCUGUCAUCUUUUUGAGCUACAGAUGGGUCACACCUGAGGAUGGAUUUGACACCCAAAAGGAUCUAGAGAAGAAAACUGGUCAGUCUGUACAAGCCACUAUGUAACUGUGUAACUAUGUAACUGUGCAUGGAGGCAGCAACUGGAGAUUGUCAAUGAAACUCUUGGUGGUUUUGUUUGUUUGUUUAGAUUUUUUUGACAUUGUUUGUUUUUAUUUUUCAAGAUGGUACUCAUAUAGACCAGGGUGGUCUUGAACUCAGAGAACUACCUGUCUCUGUCUCCCAAGUGCUGGGAUUAAAGUUGUGUGCCACCACACUCAGCUUCUUGAUCUCUAUCUCAGGGCUGAAAAAGGAGCAAGAGAAAUCUUCCUCCAUGCCCUGCAGAGAAAGAAAUCCUCUCUCACACAUUCCAUCUAUUAGGAGUUCAUUUGUGUUUAACACGACCCUCUUUAAAAUGUAAAUUUUCCUCGUGAACCUGUAAACCUCAUUCACACCUUAUUGUUAAUUACUUUGGUGUUCUAGAAUAUGAUCAGCACUUAACUGAUAUUGGCAAUCUAGGAAUGAACAAAUAGUUCAGUGUGGAAAGGGGGAAAUUUGGGUGGAAUAGAGCCAGAGAUGGAAGUGUAAUCACUCACUUUGGGGAAAUGAGAAUAUACAGAUUUUCUAAACCUUUGUUUAGGAGAGGGGCAGUAGCUACGGUGCUACAGAAUGAGAACCAUCCUGACUGCCAACAUCUGUCUGAGUUAGAACAAGUCUGGGAGCUACAAAAGUCAACUUCUCAAAUAUUUAAUCAUGACAACUUAAUUGAACUUAUUUUUUUUCUGGAUAUAUUUCUAGCUAAUUUUUAGUACUAUAAUUUGAUGACCUUGGCUUCUAAGAGUCAACCAAUGGAAGCUCCUAGGCCAGGUUUCACCACCAACUCAACAAAUUACAGAAAAAAAAAGGAAAUGUGGUCUAAUUGUUUUAAAUUGUUUUAUAGUUCUUCCUUUCAGAGGUUACAAAUUGUAGUCCUAGAAUAUACUGGAAAGUCUUUGAGAAGAUCACCCACAAGAAUGGUAUUUUUCUGUUUGUCUUAGCAUCAUGGAAUCUGGUGUCAAAAGGCUGGUGAUUAAAUCAUAGAAGGUAUGCAUGGAUAUAAACUUCACAUUGCAUUCUAUAUGCACGUGCAGAAAUCUUUGUAUGUGUAUUAUGUAUCCAUAAAAAUAAAACUUGGAAAGUAUUCAAAACUUGAAUCACACUUUAAUUGCCCUACACUACACAUCUUGAUAAGUAGAAAUGCAAGGAAAAACAUUUUAUGCCAUUUUGUAACAGUAUUAAUCACCUCUCCUUUCAUAAGAAAAAUAUGCUAAACACUUCACUGCUAAGAAAAGAGUCUCUUUGCUGACAAAUGGACAAUGUGUUGGUUAGAGUUUCUACUGCUGAGAUGAAACAGAAUGACUAAAAAGAAACUUGGGUGGAAAAAGGUUUAUUCUGUUUCCAUAUCACUGUUUAUCAAUGAAAGAAGUCAGGACAGGAACUCAAUCAGGGCAGGAACCUGGAGGCGGGAGCUGAUGCAGAGGCCAUGGAGGAUUGAUGCUUACUGGCUUGCUCUCCAUGGCUUGCUCAGUCUAUUUUUCUUCUAGAAUCCAGGACCACCAGCCCAGGGAUGGCCCCACCUACAAUGAUCUGGGUUCUCUCCAAACAAUCAGUAAUAGAAUGCUCUACAAGCUUGCCUACAGCCCACUCUUAGAGAUACAACCCAAUCUCAUGGGGCCUUUUCUUACCUGAGGCUCCCUCCUGUUAGAUGAGUUUAGCUGGUGACAAGCUGACACAGACGAUCCAGUACAGAUACAUGUGUUUACAUGUGUAUAUGUGUAUACAUGUGUAUAUGAGCACAUUGGGCUGGAACAUGCACUGCCCUCUAGUGCUGCUGCUUUCUUAGUCUAAAGAUAAGCCUUCCUUCUAAGUAAACUCUAAUAUGGAAAUAAAGAUAUCCUCUGAUACAGAUCUAUUUCUGGAGAUGAGGGCUGACAACUGAUUUAGAAUGCAGGGGACAGCAAAUGCUAUGUCACGCAUUUUUCAAUCAAUGUAUCCCUUUGUGGCUUAGACACCUGUAUGCAUUUUGUCACAUACAGACACAGUUGUGGGAAAGAAAGUAUAUGUAGCUAAUCUUCAAUUGCUCACAAAGUACUAGACAGGCACUAUUUAUUAUGAAGCACAUGCCUCCAUACUGCCAGCUCACAUAUUACACCAGUGAGUCAUCAUUUUAAGCUGUCUUGCUUGGAGACAUGUGAUUCUCAGGUGGUCUAGAGAGUAACAGCUACUAAACUAAACUGACAUGGCUGAAGCACUGUUCCUUCAAAUAGAAGGUUAUUUUAGAAUAAACAAGGACUUCAAAUUGUUUACCAUGUUUUUUAACUUUGUAUAUUGUGCUGAUUUCUCCUUUGACAGUCCUUCCUUGUCUACAUAGCUUACCACUAUUACUUUCUAGUUCUUUCAUGUGAUAAUGUGACACAUGAUUGGUUCUCUGUAAAUAUUUGUGGAGUGCACAAUUGACCAUCUGGACAAAUAUUAUGAUGUCAACAAUGGAAAAAAAAAACCACUUUCUGAUUAUGCAAAUUAAUGUACCUUAUUUUAAUUAUGAGAGUUAAUAAAUCCAUAAUAACA
rnacentral:lncRNA from 1 species